AACGCAUUAACAAUCCCCCGCCAACGGAAGGUACGCCAUUGUGAGAAAAGAAAUUGCGUUGUGUGGUAGUGCCGCUAUUCUGAGUGGUUAAAACAGUUUUUGUGUUCUAAAAAGCGGUUGGAGAUAGAGUCUGUUCAGGCAAUGGGAUCAGAACAGCAGUUCUGUCUGAAAUGGAAUAAUCAUCAGAGUACUAUAGUUGCCGGCUUUGACACGCUACUGGAAAGUGGAACAUUGGUAGAUUGUACAUUGGCCGCAGAAGGACAGUACUUGAAAGCUCAUAAGGUUGUGCUGUCAGCAUGUAGUCCAUAUUUUGAGCUGCUUUUGAGCCAACAUGAUGAGAAGCAUCCUAUUGUGAUACUAAAGGAUAUCAAAUUUCAAGAACUGAAAGCUAUGGUAGAUUACAUGUACCAUGGUGAAGUGAAUAUAUCUCAGGACCAAUUAGGGGCUCUUCUGAAGGCUGCAGAAUCAUUACAAAUUAAGGGUUUAUCAGAUAGUGGUGGAGGGGGUAGUGAAAGAGAGAAUGUGGAUAAAAGACACCAUGGGACUAGAAAACAAACAAUACCUCCUCCUCAGCCUAGAUCAUCUCCUGUCCCAUCUCAUUCUUCCACAGUAGGUCACAGGCGGCAAGCUCCACUGCCUCCAGCUGCCCCACCUCAAAUCAUUGAUCUCCCAGAGGAUGAUGAUCCACCACCUCCCCGUCCUCCACCAUUGCCUAGGGUUCCAAGUUCUCGGGAAGGAAGCCCGUCGCCACCACCUAAACGAAAGAGGCACCGUCGUCGAUCGAGUGGAGAAGAAGGAAGCUUAAGUGCAGCUCCUGUUGUUCCGCUGACAGAAGGAACACAUGAAACUAGCAGCUCAAGUGAACUUCCUCCUCAGUCCCAACCUGCUCCUUCAGCAUCUGUUCCUAGUAUUCCUGCAAAUAUCACACCUGUAGUGCCCCCGUCCGCUGAACCUGCUACACAUCCUUCCAGCCAGGCUUCAGAACAACCUGUGACAGAGACUGAGCUAUUAAACCCACCACAAGUGGCAGAAGUAGCAUCACCUAGACAGCCCCCACGUGAAAUGGCCCAUGAACAAGUGCUAGAACCAGUUCAAAAGUUGGAGCCACCAUCUGAAGUACUAUUAGAGCCUAAGUCUGAAUACCUAGAGGAUGAUAUGAAUGAAGAUAGCGUGGAAGAUCUCACAUUAGAUGAUGAUAUGGAUGAAAUUGACCAAGCACGUCCAGGGCCUUCUCAUGGCGGCGAGGGAUCCAGUCAGGGGGCAGGUUUUGCACCAUGGCAUGUUGCAGACCAGUCUAGGGAUGAGGUAUUCAUGGCAGCACAAGAGUCUGUUGGUGCUCAGAGGGAUUCACAAGGCUUGGUCAUAUCAACUCAGAGCCUGUCGUAUGUAUACCAGUUUGAAGGUGUUUCACCAGAGGAUGACAUUCAGCUUCAUUUUUGCCAACUGUGUGGGAAAAGCUACAAAUCUCGGUCUACACGUAACAGGCAUCUUCGUUAUGAAUGCGGGAUAGCCCGCUUCAAACUGGAAUGUUCAGUUUGUGGCAGGAGGUUCUCGCGGCCUGAUAACUUGCGUCAACAUGCGGGUAUCCAUAUGCCAGGUUACCUUAGUUACAGUUACAAGGCUAGUAGUAAUGGUGGCAGCAGUGGCGUUGGAGGAGGAAAUUUCCAGACUGCUGAUGGUGUAUGAACUGCAAAGUGUACCAAGUUUUAAUGAAACAUUCUUAUCUGGAGGUGAAAUGUUUCAUUGCAAAUUCUUUUGAUUUUUUGUCUGGAUGCGUUGGGUAGUGCUCAGAGCAGCACGACAUCAAUCUACUCUACGAUUUACCAAGCGCUUGCAUAUUUGAUUUUAUAAGUGAAUAUUUUUGAAGAAAUAUUACCGAGUUUUGGGCAGAGCAUCCCCUUAUUACCAGGUGUUUCAGUGAAGAAAUUGGGGUUGAAGACUUUGCCGUUUCUAAGUUGAAACAUGGGACAUAGGAUUCUGUAACACUGAGGUAAUUAUAUUUCCAUGUUUACUUAGAAUAAGAUUUAUUUUUAGUGCUCCAUGGUUUUGCAUUUAACUGUGAAACUGCUAAGAGAAAUGGUCAUGACAUACUGCCUGUGUUUAUGUAUUAUGAAAUAUUGGCCAGUUUGUGUCCAUACUUGGUUUUCAGCAUCAGAUAUUUGUUUCACCAUUCACUAAAGGUACUGGCUCUACAUGUGUCACAUGCAUGGGAAGUGUUUUGCAAUUUCACAGGUAGUCAAUUCACUAGGCUGCUGUAUGAGAUGUGACCAUCACGUGCUCCAUAUGAAUGAUGAUUUUUAAACCAGUGUCCAACAAUAGCAUUUUACUGUUUGGUAAGCGCAACUCUGAUUUGUUGCUAUUCUGUGUUCUACUGCUUCCCAUUCAUGGACACAUCUCAUUUUAAGCCUAUUUCCUUAAGGAAGCAAAAUUCUACACACUAUGCUGAAAUGAUUGGUUGGGUAUUGAUGAAUGCUAGGUGAUUUGUUCAUGAUAAAUUCAUUCAGUGCCAAGUUGGGUUCAUUUUUAAAUUGAACCCUGCUGUCCUCAUUGCAGCUGCUCCAAUAUUCAAGCAUAUUAAAUUCCAUGCUGUGCCUUUUCCAGUUUCCCUAUCUGAAGUUUUUAUUUAUUUAUUAUUCAAUUUUUUUUUGUUAGCUAGGCAACUUGUUUAACAACCCCUGUUAAUGGUUGAGACUGGUGAUUCCUGGUCUAGAAGACGGGUUUUGUUGAAAUGCAGUUUUAUCAAAUUCCAGCAGUCACACCACAAUGCUAAUGUAUUUUAUUAUGCCACUGUCCUAUGGUAAAACAUAUGUUUCUACUGUUUAUUCUGGUGGUGCAUUACUUUACCUGACAGGAGCAUUUGCCACUACUUAUAGGGUAAGUUGUAUUUCUUGUGAGUUAUUUUUCAGACGUCUGAUUUUCUUGUCUAGGCCAUGUGCAGUAAAAAUACCUAUUUAGCAGUGGAGGCAGUAGUAGGCAUUCUGAACCUCAUGUUUUUUAAAACAAAUUGAUACAAAUAGUAAUUUGUUACGUUCUAAGUGAAAAAUUGACUUGAUGGUUGAGUGGCAAGGGGCUGUUGUAUUUGAACAAGAUUAUAUUAAUGUUUAAUAUAAAGCAGUCUUUGAAGACAUCCAUGAAAUAAGGAGCUAUAACAAGUAAAAACUAAACUACCACAACACAUGUUAGGUGGAUGUUAUAAUCUGUAACAUUUGAAUUAGUUAUGUCAAGUUUCAGUAUAUUUGGCCAUGUAGAUUUUAACUUUUUUUUGCUAUCUUGCUUCAUCUAUGCUUUUCUGACGUAAUGAAGAGCUAGUACACCAAAAUUCUGUUUAAGGUAUUUACUAUUACUGACGUCACAGUUCAGAGUCAUGUGUUUUACCUUUGUGAACCAGUUAAAAUACUUGGCUAUUAUGUUUACAGCAUACAUCUGAUGAUUCUUAAGAAUUACAUUGUGUAGUGAUAGUUCUAAGAACAUUUGAGAGGGUUAUGGCACCCGAUCAUUCAUUACAUUAAAUAGUAGGAUAAUUGAAUUGAAGGUGGCUGUCUUGUUGGUUGUAGUGCUGUGUAGUUGGAAGUUUACUGACAUUUUUUUAGGUGCUUUCUGCCUUGGUCAUCAUGGUGAUGAUCCUGAUGUUGGCAAGUGCCUCUGAAAUGUCAGUAUAAUUCUACCCCACUGCAUGGUGAUGCAACCCAAAAGAGCCAUGUCCAUAUUUUCUGCCAUGGGAACCUCAAUCCUAAGUGGUCUGAACUGUUCGAGGACUCUCAUGAGACAGAUAUUUAUCACCUUCAACAUCUGCUGCUACUACUACGAGCAAGGGUGGUAUGAGCUCAACGUGCUGGCAGUUAUGUCCAUGAUAUACCCUGAUAUCCCAUAAUUCCACAAGGGGGUAUCCAAUAAUUCCACAAGGGGGUGGGGCGGUCACUGAAUUUCCAUCGAACAUCCAGCCAGUCGUCAUGGAGGUCCAGUCAUACUUGCAGUGAGACAUCCCAGGAGCAGAAUAUGCUGAAGUUUCCUGACCGGAAUUAUAGUGGUGCUGCAGUGAGCUUGCUGCUUGAAAAGGGAGGUUCCGGUCUGAGGAGCUUCUAAUCCAGAGCCAUGGAUGGAGCUUGUGGUUCAUCAGGAAUAGCAACUGUUUGUGAACUGGAGCUGUAGCAUGAAGCUAACAGUUGUUUACCUGGGCACUGAAGCACAAGACCAUGAAAUAUUUCUUUCUGUCUGCCAUGGGCUUGCCUUACCUGAGAAGUCAUACUAGUGCUGAUGCCUACAGACAUAAGUGUUUUGUGUGUGGAAAAUGUUACAAGACACGAUCUAAGUUGAAUAGACAUGCUCGUUACGAAUGUGGUGCAUCCAGGAACCAACUACAGUGCUGGGUUUGUGGGCGGAUGUUUUCUAGACCAGACAAUCUUAGACAACAUGAAUGUCUGCAUGCAAUGCAGAGACUUUAAUUAAAUUAGUACAUGUGCUUGUCUGUGAUAAUUUGUGAAUGGGAUUUUUUUACAAGUGACACGUGUCUAAACACCAUUCUACUGGAGGCCAUUUUGCUGAUAUUUCAUCAGAGUGGUUUCACAAGAAGCUCAGAAAUAAACAACUUCUUAAUUAAGAAAUGAAGUCAUACCAAGUUUAUUAGUCAUCUUGUCUACCAUAACUUGGAAUGUAGUUUUCAGUUUGGUUUAAAAUUUGUGACCUGACAGUUUGUUUUUGUAAAUAUCACCACUUUUUCUUCAAAUUAUCUACUGAACAGCAUUAGAAGUCUUGUGUAUUCACUGUAAACUUCUUGUUGCUAUCAAAUCCUUAUUUCUGUAGAGGAACAUGAUUCUAAAUGAGUUUCUGGGUAUGAAUUGGAAAAGCUUUAUUUUCCUUAAGUCAUAAAAUCUGUCAGUACUUUAAACCAGUAAGUUUUCUGGAUGGAAUGUAUUUUAUUGCAAAAACUUUUUUGGCUUUAUUCUUUAAAUGUAUUUACAUUACUGCUUCUGGCUAUUACUGUUGUGUAAUGUACAUUCUUUGCUUGAAUAUAAAAGGAUAGUGUAGAAACAAUAUAUUUUCAUAUGUAUUAUAUGGCUCAAUAAAAAUACUUAUUGUUUGUA